rnacentral:rRNA from 1 species
CCUACGGGCGGCAGCAGGGAGGAAUAUUGGGCAAUGGGCGCGAGCCUGAACCAGCCAAGUAGCGUGAAGGAUGACAGCCCUACGGGUUGUAAACUUCUGUUAUAAAGGAAUAAAGUGAGGCACGUGUGCCAUUUUGGAUGUACGUGAUGAAUAAGGAGCGGCUAACUCCGUGCCAGCAGCCGCGGUAAUACAGCGGAUCCGAGCGUUCUCCGGAUUUAUUGGGGUUAAAGGGAGCGUAGAUGGGUUGUUAAGUCAGUUGGGAAAGUUUGCGGCUCAACCGGAAAAUUGCAAUUGAUACUGGCAGUCUUGCGUACAGUUGCGGUCGGCGGAAUUCGUUGUGUCGCGG